ensembl:lncRNA
CUGACUGACUGACUACAGGUUAGUGACUGACUGACUACAGGUUAGUGACUGACUGACUGACUACAGGUUAGUGACUGACUGACUACAGGUUAGUGACUGACUGACUGACUGACUGACCACAGGUGACUGACUGACUACAGGUUAGUGACUGACUGACUGACUACAGGUUAGUGACUGACUGACUGACUACAGGUUAGUGACUGACUGACUGACUGACUACAGGUUAGUGACUGACUGACUACAGGUUAGUGACUGACUGACUGACUACAGGUUAGUGACUGACUGACUGACUACAGGUUAGUGACUGACUGACUGACU